rnacentral:pre_miRNA from 1 species
AAAAAAACAAACCCUGGGUUUCCGUGUCCAACGUUUGACCGUCUGUCUUAUUUGAAAAAAUUAUGGAAAAAAUUUAAAAGACAAGUCACGCAUAAAGUAUUAAUCAUGUUUUAUCAUCUAACAACAAUAAAAAUACUAAUUAUAAAAAAAUUCAUAUAAGACGGACAGUCAAAUAUUAGACACGAAAACCCAUGGUUUGUCUUUUU